rnacentral:rRNA from 1 species
UACAGAGGGUGCGAGCGUUGUUCGGAAUUAUUGGGCGUAAAGGGCGCGUAGGCGGUGCGGUAAGUCACCUGUGAAAUCUCCUGGCUCAACUGGGAGCUUGCAGGCGAAACUGCCGUGCUGGAGUGUGGGAGAGGUGCGUGGAAUUCCUGGUGUAGCGGUGAGAUGCGUAGAUAUCAGGAGGAACACCUGUGGCGAAAGCGGCGCACUGGACCACAACUGACGCUGAGGCGCGAAAGCUAGGGGAGCAAACAGG